CCUACGGGAGGCAGCAGUGGGGGAUAUUGCACAAUGGGGGAAACCCUGAUGCAGCGACGCCGCGUGUGGGAAGAAGGUCCUCUGGUUUGUAAACUAUUGUCCCCAGGGACGACGAUGACGGUACCUGGGGAGGAAGCUCCGGCAAACCAGGUGCCAGCAGCCCCGGAAAUACGGGGGGAGCGAGCGUUGUGCGGAAUUACGGGGGGAAAAGGGAGCGUAAGCGGGGAUGCAAGUUGGGUGUAAAAACUACCGGCUCAACUGGUAGUCGCACUCGAAACUGCAGCUCUUGAGUGAAGUAGAGGCAGGCGGAAUUCCUAGUGUAGCAGUGAAAUGCGUAGAUAUUAGGAGGAACACCAGUGGCGAAGGCGGCCUGCUGGGCUUUUACUGACGCUGAGGCUCGAAAGUGUGGGGAGCAAACAGGAUUAGAUACCCCAGUAGUC
rnacentral:rRNA from 1 species